rnacentral:rRNA from 1 species
GAUGAACGCUGGCGGCGUGCCUAAUACAUGCAAGUCGAGCGAACGGACGAGAAGCUUGCUUUUCUGAUGUUAGCGGCGGACGGGUGAGUAACACGUGGAUAACCUACCUAUAAGACUGGGAUAACUUCGGGAAACCGGAGCUAAUACCGGAUAAUAUUUUGAACCGCAUGGUUCAAAAGUGAAAGACGGUCUUGCUGUCACUUAUAGAUGGAUCCGCGCUGCAUUAGCUAGUUGGUAAGGUAACGGCUUACCAAGGCAACGAUGCAUAGCCGACCUGAGAGGGUGAUCGGCCACACUGGAACUGAGACACGGUCCAGACUCCUGCGGGAGGCAGCAGUAGGGAAUCUUCCGCAAAGGGCGAAAGCCUGACGGAGCAACGCCGCGUGAGUGAUGAAGGUCUUCGGAUCGUAAAACUCUGUUAUUAGGGAAGAACAUAUGUGUAAGUAACUGUGCACAUCUUGACGGUACCUAAUCAGAAAGCCACGGCUAACUACGUG